rnacentral:rRNA from 1 species
AGAUUAAGUUAUUAAGGGCGCACGGUGGAUGCCUUGGCACUAGAAGCCGAUGAAGGACGUUACUAACGACGAUAUGCUUUGGGGAGCUGUAAGUAAGCUUUGAUCCAGAGAUUUCCGAAUGGGGAAACCCAGCAUGAGUUAUGUCAUGUUAUCGAUAUGUGAAUACAUAGCAUAUCAGAAGGCACACCCGGAGAACUGAAACAUCUUAGUACCCGGAGGAAGAGAAAGAAAAUUCGAUUCCCUUAGUAGCGGCGAGCGAAACGGGAAGAGCCCAAACCAACAAGCUUGCUUGUUGGGGGUGUAGGACACUCUAUACGGAGUUACAAAGGACGACAUUAG